rnacentral:rRNA from 1 species
AGCGGCGAACGGCUGCGUAACACGUUGGUACCUGCCCCGAACUCAGGGAUACCUCGCCGAAAGGCGAGCUAAUACCGGAUAGUCCCGUGAGGGUAAAGCUUCGGCGGUUCGGGAGGGGCCUGCGGCCUAUCAGCUCGUUGGUAAGGUAACGGCUUACCAAGGCUAUGACGGGUAGCUGGUCUGAGAGGACGACCAGCCAGAAUGGGACUGAGACACGGCCCAUACUCCUACGGGAGGCAGCAGUGAGGAAUCUUCCGCAAUGGGCGAAAGCCUGACGGAGCGACACCGCGUGGAGGAUGACACCCUUCUGGGCGUAAACUCCUGUUCUGAGGGACGAAAUUUUUGACGGUACCUCAGGAGAAAGCACCGGCUAAUUCUGUGCCAGCAGCCGCGGUAAGACAGAAGGUGCAAGCGUUACUCGGAAUUACUGGGCGUAAAGCGUCCGCAGGUGUUCUUGUUCGUCUGGAGUAAAAUUGCGAAGCCUAACUUCGUAUUCGCUCUGGAAACAGCAGGAAUUGAGUCAUUCAGAGGCAUCUGGAAUGCCGUGUGUAGGGGUAAAAUCCGUUGAUCCACGGUAGAACGCCAAAAGCGAAGGCAGGAUGCUAGGAAUGUACUGACACUCAUGGACGAAAGCGUGGGGAGCAAACCGGAUUAGAUACCCGGGUAGUCCACGCCCUCAACGAUGCGUGCUCGGUGUUGGGACUUCAAUCUGUCCCAGUGCCUUAGCUUACGCGGUAAGCACGCCGCCUGGGAACUACGGCCGCAAGGCCAAAACUCAAAGGAAUAGACGGGGACCCACACAAGCGGUGGAGCAUGGGGUUUAAUUCGAUAGUAAGCGGAGAACCUCACCCAGGUUUGACAUCUCGGAAAUCCCCCAGAAAUGGGGGAGUGCCGCAAGGAAUCCGAUGACAGGUGAUGCACGGUCGUCGUCAGCUCGUGCCUUGAGGUGUACUGUUAAGUCAGCGAACGAGCGCAACCCUCAUCUUAUGUUGUUCUUUCAUAAGAGACUGCCGCCUCCAAGGCGGAGGAAGGUGGGGAUGACGUCAGAUCAGCGUGUCCUUUAUGCCUGGGGCAACACCCAUGCUACAAUGGCCGGUACAAAGGGAAGCAACCCCGCGAGGGCAAGCAAAUCCCAUAAACCCGGUCUCAGUCCGGAUUGAAGUCUGCAACUCGACUUCAUGAAGCUGGAAUCGCUAGUAACCGUAGAUCAGCUACGCUACGGUGAAUACGUUCCUGGGUCUCGUACUCACCGCCCGUCAACUCAUGAAAGGCAGGAGCACUUGAAGCACCUUUAUCCGCAAGGAGGGGUACCACGGUGAAACUGCUGAUUGGGAGUAAGUCGUAACAAGGUA